rnacentral:rRNA from 1 species
UAAUACGAGGGGUGCUAGCGUUGUCCGGAAUCACUGGGCGUAAAGGGUCCGUAGGCGUUUUGCUAAGUUGAUUGUUAAAUCCAUCGGCUCAACCGAUGACCUGCAAUCAAAACUGGUAGAAUAGAGUUCGAGAGAGGAAAGUAGAAUUCCUGGUGUAGCGGUGACAUGCGUAGAUAUCAGGAGGAACACCAAUGGCGAAGGCAGCUUUCUGGCUCGAUAUUGACGCUGAGGGACGAAAGCGUGGGGAGCGAACAGGAUUAGAUACCCUGGUAGUCCACGCCGUAAACGAUGAGUACUUGAUGUCGGGGGAUUCGACCCCUUCGGUGUCGUAGCUAACGCGAUAAGUACUCCGCCUGGGGACUACGACCGCAAGGUUG